rnacentral:rRNA from 1 species
AGGACGAACGCUGGCGGCGUGCUUAACACAUGCAAGUCGAACGGUGAUCUCGAGAGCUUGCUCUCGAGUGAGCAGUGGCGAACGGGUGAGUAACACGUGAGUAACCUGCCCCAGACUCUGGAAUAAGCGCUGGAAACGGCGUCUAAUACCGGAUAUGAGACGAAGUCGCAUGACUAUCGUCUGGAAAGUUUUUUCGGUCUGGGAUGGACUCGCGGCCUAUCAGCUUGUUGGUGAGGUAACGGCUCACCAAGGCAAUG